AGUCUCUCUCUACUGUAACUCCUGACUGUGUGUGUGUGAGCGGCUGAGUGGCUCGCUGUUCUUGCUGUGUCUCCAGAGUGAUUUAUCAGGUUUGCAGGGAGGAGAGACAGAGGGAGAGAGGGGGAGGGAGACAACUCCAGUAGCAGGCAGGCAGCAGUUACCAACCAGCUGGCCGGGUGUGUUAACUCCACAUCUGACCUCUAUGGGAACAGAGCGAUCUCCUCUCCUCUCCUGGCUGACUGUGGGAACGAGGAGAGAUCUUCAUUUCCCCCACUCUCGCUGCUCCUGGCUGGGCCAUCGAGCUCGGGGACAGAGGAGGACAUGACAGGACAGGACAGCUUUGGGAGCGAGAUCUCAAGUGGGAGAGCCGAGCUCUGAGGAUUUCACCGCCGAGCAGUGACUGGACCUCGCUGGCACCGCCUGGCUGUCGGUCAGGCAGCGAUGCAGUUGUCUAGUCAGUCAUUAGCCAGUCAGAGGGUUAGUUAGUCAGCCGGGGAAUCGGUCAGUGGGGUCCUUCCCAAAGAGUCAACUCUUAGUGCAUACCCUCAUCUGAACUCUGAGGUGACUCAGACUUGCCAUGUAGCUAGAGCGGACCUGUGGGCAUGGUCACAGGUGCUUCACAGCUGCUGUGGGAAAAAGGCAUCUGGAGCCCACGAGGACGUAACCUUACAAAGGGCAGGGGAGGGCGGAUGCAGCCUCUCUAUCUCGGCUGUGGUGGGGAGGGUUCCUGGCACCGUGAUUUGAUGCACAAAGAGAAACAAAAAUCACAUUGCCAGGGAUUUCCACUCCUUCACAGCUCAGCUGGUGACCCACCGCACUGUUUCCAUCGCGGGUUGCUUUUGUGUAGCCGUCCUAGCUGCUCUGAUUGGAUUCAGUUGAUUUCUGAUGCUGGAUGUUGCUAUGGAGUCAAAUAUGGGUGAAGUUAGAUACGGCGAUCAACUCUCAGCAGACUUCUCACAAGGAGAGCUGUGACAUAGCACAGAAAGUGUCGAAACGCUCACGAGGCUGCCGUUAAACGUGCAGCUGUCUGAAAUUCAAACUCUUCACACGUCUCGUCUUUCAAAUACGACAGGAAGUUGAUGUAAAUGCACGUGAGGGCCGUGCAGCUUUACGUGAUAGAACUAACUUUUGGAGUCAGCUCACGUUUCAGCUCUCGGAUUUUAGAUUUAAACACACAGGGAAGCGGCCCUGAUCCUACACCGGCAGCACGCUCCGAAACACAAAAGCGAACCUCAACAUCCGAAGCACCGCAGGCGCUAAAGCCACCAACUUUACCGGUGAGCAGUCACGUAAAGGUCUGCGUGAGGCUCUGGUCCCUCGAAAGCCUGCCACCCACUUGCUAAAGGCACAGAGCUUAGCUAAUUGGUGAGCAUUGAUCCCUGCUAUGUGUUGUUCACAGUGGCUAAGUUCAGUGCCUGAGGUGAAAUAGUGGAUUCGACGUUGGGGGAUUUGUUCCGCUGAAUGGAAAGAACCUGAUGAUCUCGGAUAUGAGGAAAGAAGGAGGGAGGAGAAGGGGGGAGAGAUUAGGUGGGAAAGGGAGAAGCUCGGCUCACGGCUCUAAUGUGGGCUCACCUGCUUCUGUGGACCAAAGGCAGCGUGCUUGUGCAAUAUGGUCCAGAGGUGAGACAAGCUGUACUGUUUCUUCAUUUGCCUGCAGCAACAACUGUCUUCUUACCUCUAACAUCUGGCAAGAAUCAUGGUGCAUGCCAAAUAUAUUUGAAAUUGUUUGAGCGAGGCCAUGUGACCCAGGUUUAAUGUGUUCUUGCAAAUGCCUCAGAUUGCAUCUGGAUUAGGAAUGUGGUGCUAAAUGUCAACUGUACCUGGGCGUGCCACUUCACGUCUGACUGAGGUAGCUUAGGACGUCAGUGCCAGUGUUUAGCACUAACCUUCCCACACUUUAUCACCCUUAGCUGAAAGUCUCCCAGCUUUUCCUACGAUAAACUAGCUGAUUGAUUUCAUGUUGGUCUGAGCUGUCGCUUAAUUUUUCUUGGGUGGAUUUUUAGCAAAUUAACACCAGUGCAAACUAAGAAGUAAAACCCUUUUUUCCUGAAAUAAAAGUGUCUUAAGUGAUCACAAAUUCUCCUGCUGCUCACUGUGAGCUGCGUGACUGCAGUAAAUUUGCCUAUUGCUGCGUAAUUCACCCCGAACUUGGUGCUGCUGUUCUAACGCUGCGUGCUGCUAUGAUGUGAGCAAAAAUAAGCUGCAGCACUCAGUUGUUUCUGGGCUUUGCCCUCCUGUGCCUACUGAACUGGUAUCAGUGUUAUACCUGAAAACUGGCUCAGUUCAGCAGGAACAGGAGUGGAGCCUACAGACAUGCGACAGCUUCGAGCGACAGCAGCGAGACCGAGAUUCAGCUGUUGUUGGUUGCUGUGUCAAACUGACGUGAUGCUCGCCUCGAGUCAAAGGCGGUGAUGAAAUCCAAACCAGAGUCCCCGAACCUGUCAGACUGAAGCUUGACGUCUCCGUGGAAGUGCGUCCCGACUUAGACGACUGUGCUUUCCUUCGUCGACGUGUAAAUGUUUCAUGAGCCGAUGGGUUGGUGUUUGUGAAUACUCGUACAUGCUAAUGAACCCAAUCCUGUUGUUCUGUUCAACCUUCAUCUUUCUCCUGCAUUCUCCUCCUGAGACGCCUGCAGACACGCCCCUCGAGCUUCACCUGUGUCGUCUCUCUGUCUGUGCCGUCAAAGGCCAGACUGAGACUAGGGCUCAUUGUGAGCUAAUCCCAGUGAAAUGUCUGCUAUGUCUGUGUAAUGGAUUUCAACCAGCAGCCCCACAUUGUGAGCGAAUGGGAGUGUGUGCAACUUGGAGCCACAAAAGGAAAAGUGCUUGAAAAUUUCAUAUCCAGAGGAAAGUGGAAGCUCAUCAGUAAGCGUGAUGAAUUUGCUCUUAUCCGGCACCUCCACUGAUCCUGGCUGCCGCCAUAAAAUUAUGUUUCCAUUACUUGAAAUUUCUGCAGAUAAAUGUUCCAUUCAGACCUGGAGGAGAUUACCCAGUGAAAAGGUUAGAGAGGGGUUUCUCUCUAUCGGUGAUGCCGACUUCAGGGCAUUGUUUCAGCCCGGUGGUACCACUGACAAGUUGGCUAUGAUUUGUGUAAGUGUUCAAUUGAACAAAGUGUUGAGUAGAAAUGAUGCAUGAAGUGCAUUCUUCUAAAUGUCAGCAUGUUCAUUUAAUGCAUGAUUUAUUCUGAUGUUGCAGGUGUUUCGUUCCAGCACAAACCCAGCACUGACUGAAUGCAAUAAAGUUUAAAUGAGCCUGA